AUUGAACGCUGGCGGCAUGCUUUACACAUGCAAGUCGAACGGUAACAGACCGCAAGGUGCUGACGAGUGGCGAACGGGUGAGUAAUGCAUCGGAACGUGCCCAGUCGUGGGGGAUAACGCAGCGAAAGCUGCGCUAAUACCGCAUACGAUCUCUGGAUGAAAGCGGGGGACCGAAAGGCCUCGCGCGAUUGGAGCGGCCGAUGUCAGAUUAGGUAGUUGGUGGGGUAAAGGCCCACCAAGCCAACGAUCUGUAGCUGGUCUGAGAGGACGACCAGCCACACUGGGACUGAGACACGGCCCAGACCCCUACGGGAGGCAGCAGUGGGGAAUUUUGGACAAUGGGCGCAAGCCUGAUCCAGCAAUGCCGCGUGCAGGAAGAAGGCCUUCGGGUUGUAAACUGCUUUUGUACGGAACGAAACGGUCCUGGUUAAUACCUGGGGCUAAUGACGGUACCGUAAGAAUAAGCACCGGCUAACUACGUGCCAGCCGCCGCUGUAAAAC
rnacentral:rRNA from 1 species